rnacentral:rRNA from 1 species
CGGACGGGUGAGUAACGCGUGGGUAACCUGCCUCACACUGGGGGAUAACAGUCAGAAAUGACUGCUAAUACCGCAUAAGCGCACGGAGCCGCAUGGCUCAGUGUGAAAAACUCCGGUGGUGUGAGAUGGACCCGCGUUGGAUUAGCCAGUUGGCAGGGUAACGGCCUACCAAAGCGACGAUCCAUAGCCGGCCUGAGAGGGUGGACGGCCACAUUGGGACUGAGACACGGCCCAGACUCCUACGGGAGGCAGCAGUGGGGAAUAUUGCACAAUGGGGGAAACCCUGAUGCAGCGACGCCGCGUGAAGGAAGAAGUAUCUCGGUAUGUAAACUUCUAUCAGCAGGGAAGAAAAUGACGGUACCUGACUAAGAAGCCCCGGCUAACUACGUGCCAGCAGCCGCGGUAAUACGUAGGGGGCAAGCGUUAUCCGGAUUUACUGGGUGUAAAGGGAGCGUAGACGGAGCAGCAAGUCUGAUGUGAAAGGCGGGGGCUCAACCCCCGGACUGCAUUGGAAACUGUUGAUCUUGAGUACCGGAGAGGUAAGCGGAAUUCCUAGUGUAGCGGUGAAAUGCGUAGAUAUUAGGAGGA